CCCGCCCCCUCCCCACCAAGCCUUCCUUCCAAAUUGUCGCAGUGUCUGGUGGUCCCAGCCCCUCCCCUACUCACAUCCACCCUAUCAAUUUCACAGAGCCUCCAAGUCCCGCCCUUUAUCCUAACACGCCCCCCUCCAAACGGCAAAACCCAAAUUGGUUUGGCUCCUUCCCUGUAACACCCCCUCCUCAACUCAGGACUGAACUAGUGAUUCCAUCUUGGGCCCAGCCAAACGGGGUCCAGUCCCCUCCCUUCCUAGCUGGAUGGAUUCGGAAAGUGCACCCAGGAGGAAGGAAUGCAUCAAACUGGAAGAUACUGAACCCAGAAAUGAGCCCCAGAGUCAUGGAAGAUCUCAUUUUUAGGAUACAGAAGCUCUGCCCUGGAUAAAGACAGAGAAGACUACAGUUACACUUAAGGACAGCAUCGCAAGUUCCACAUUGUCUUGCUAGUGGUCUCUCGGGAGGAACGGAAUUAGAACCUUGAAUAUUAUCGAAUUUAAUGAAGUAAACUAAAUCUCAGUCCAAGUUCAUCAGAGAGGUAAUGCCCUUCCUUAAUUUUACUGCCUUCCUAACACAAUGCCAUAAAUAUCCUUAUCUUAGGACAUAGAGAUGGGGGGCUACGACCUUAUCUAAAAAGGAAAAAACCAAUUAGC
rnacentral:lncRNA from 1 species